rnacentral:rRNA from 1 species
AUUGAACGCUGGCGGCAGGCUUAACACAUGCAAGUCGAGCGGAGCGAGGGUGCUUGCACCUUAGCUUAGCGGCGGACGGGUGAGUAAUGCUUAGGAAUCUGCCUAUUAGUGGGGGACAACAUUCCGAAAGGGAUGCUAAUACCGCAUACGCCCUACGGGGGAAAGCAGGGGAUCUUCGGACCUUGCGCUAAUAGAUGAGCCUAAGUCGGAUUAGCUAGUUGGUGGGGUAAAGGCCUACCAAGGCGACGAUCUGUAGCGGGUCUGAGAGGAUGAUCCGCCACACUGGGACUGAGACACGGCCCAGACUCCUACGGGAGGCAGCAGUGGGGAAUAUUGGACAAUGGGCGGAAGCCUGAUCCAGCCAUGCCGCGUGUGUGAAGAAGGCCUUUUGGUUGUAAAGCACUUUAAGCGAGGAGGAGGCUCUUAAGGUUAAUACCCUUGAUGAGUGGACGUUACUCGCAGAAUAAGCACCGGCUAACUCUGUGCCAGCAGCCGCGGUAAAAC